UAGCGAAAUGCGAUACUUGGUGUGAAUUGCAGAAUCCCGUGAACCAUCGAGUCUUUGAACGCAAGUUGCGCCCGAAGCCAUUAGGUUGAGGGCACGCCUGCCUGGGUGUCACACAUGGUUACCCGAAAGCAAACGCCUGAUGUGCGUGUGCAGGGUGGAAGCUGACCUCCCGUGGGCAACGACUCGCGGCUGGUUGAAAAUGGAGUUCAUGGUUGAGAAUGCCGUGAUAAAAUGGUGGAUGAGCGUUGCUCGAGACCAAUCGCGUGUGGCUCGAUCAAUUUUGGACUCUCUGACCCAGAUGCGUCCAUGGACGCUCUCAACGAGACCUCAGGUCAGGCGGGGCCACCCGCUGAGUUUAAGCAUAUCAAUAAGCGGAGG
rnacentral:rRNA from 1 species